GAUGAACGCUGGCGGCGUGCCUAAUACAUGCAAGUCGAGCGAACAGACGAGGAGCUUGCUCCUUUGACGUUAGCGGCGGACGGGUGAGUAACACGUGGGUAACCUACCUAUAAGACUGGGAUAACUUCGGGAAACCGGAGCUAAUACCGGAUAAUAUUUCGAACCGCAUGGUUCGAUAGUGAAAGAUGGUUUUGCUGUCACUUAUAGAUGGACCUGCGCCGUAUUAGCUAGUUGGUAAGGUAACGGCUUACCAAGGCAACGAUACGUAGCCGACCUGAGAGGGUGAUCGGCCACACUGGAACUGAGACACGGUCCAGACUCCUACGGGAGGCAGCAGUAGGGAAUCUUCCGCAAUGGGCGAAAGCCUGACGGAGCAACGCCGCGUGAGUGAUGAAGGUCUUCGGAUCGUAAAACUCUGUUAUUAGGGAAGAACAAACGUGUAAGUAACUGUGCACGUCUUGACGGUACCUAAUCAGAAAGCCACGGCUAACUACGUG
rnacentral:rRNA from 1 species